UACGAAGGGGGCUAGCGUUGCUCGGAAUCACUGGGCGUAAAGCGCACGUAGGCGGAUCUUUAAGUCGGGGGUGAAAUCCUGGGGCUCAACCUCAGAAUUGCCUCCGAUACUGGCAGUCUCGAGUGCGGGAGAGGUGAGUGGAAUUCCCAGUGUAGAGGUGAAAUUCGUAGAUAUUGGGAAGAACACCAGUGGCGAAGGCGGCUCACUGGCCCGUAACUGACGCUGAGGUGCGAAAGCGUGGGGAGCAAACAGG
rnacentral:rRNA from 1 species